GUCUAAGGAGAAGAAAAGAGAGCCGAAGAUUGAAGCUUGAAGAAGUCCAGCGUUUCAGAUCAGAUGAGGAGCACUGGCUGGUAAAUGAAGAAGGAGAAGGAGCAACUGAAGAGGCAGUAGACAAUCCAAACGGAUCUAGUAUCAUGGAAACCAAGUCAGUGGAGGAUCUACUGGAGUGGCAUGGUCAGCUUUGUUGUGCUUUGAUAAGAGGGUCAACUCAGAUUCUCCAAGAAGCAGGCACCAAGACAGAAUUAGAUGUGAAAGAAAUACACUCAGAGAAAUGCUCUUGAAGGAUAAAGACGCCAAGGAGCAAGAGGAACUGUAAAAACCUCCAGAUCAUGUUGCUGUUUUCAAUAGUUCUUUAUAUAGAACUAAAUGAAAUUGUCUGAGUUUUGACAAUUAUAAUAUUUUAUUUCUGAUUAAUCAGAAAAUAGUUUGCCAUAAAAAUUUAUCACUUCUGAUAUUAGCACAUAAAUUUGUUUUUAUUGUAAUUUCAAAACUAAUGUCAAGACUGAGCAAAUCAUAAGAUGGAAGCACCUGUGAGUGCCUGGGACCCUCAAGAUCAUCAAAUCCAGCUUUCCCUGCAGAGAUGGUCUUUCAACUUUUGCCUGAACAUCAUCCUUGUGAGGGAAAUCGUUUCAUCACAAAGCAAUCCAGUUUACUACUGGAACACUGCAAUUAUUUGAAGAUUUUUGGCAUCACAUGUCACAACAUUGCUUCAUAUGAAUUGGUACUUAAAAGAAAACUCGACGCC
rnacentral:lncRNA from 10 species